CCUACGGGGUGCAGCAGGCGCGAAACCUCCGCAAUGCACGAAAGUGCGACGGGGGAAAGAGAAGUGCCACUCUUAACGGGGUGGCUUUUCUUAAGUGUAAAAAGCUUUUCGAAUAAGAGCUGGGCAAGACCGGUGCCAGCCGCCGCGGUAA
rnacentral:rRNA from 1 species